GGCCUCGUGGCCCAAUGGCAAGGCGUCUGACUACGACAGGGUUCGAAUCGUACAUCACAAUUGGAACCCGCCGCCGAAUCAGGAGAUUGCAGGUUCGACCCCUGCCGGGGUCA